AUUGAACGCUGGCGGCAGGCCUAACACAUGCAAGUCGUGCGAGCGGCGGACGGGUGACUAAUGUAUGGGGACUGCCCGAUAGAGGGGGAUAACUACUGGAAACGGUAGCUAAUACCGCAUACUAUCGGAUAACCCAUAUGGGAUUAGCUUGUAGGUGAGGUAAUGGCUCACAAAGGCGACGAUCUGUAGCUGGUUUGAGCGGAUGACCAGCCACACUGGGCCUGAGACACGGCCCAGACUGCUACGGAGGCAGCAGUGGGGAAGUUUGUACAGUGGGGGAAAGCCUGAUGCAGCCAUGCCGCGUGUAUGAUGAAGGCCGUAGGGUUGUAAAGUACUUUUGGGAGAGAGGCGGAACCAGCAGAAUAAGCACCGGCUAACUCCGUGCCAGCAGCCGCGGUAAUAC
rnacentral:rRNA from 1 species